CCGACAAAGAUACAAUCUCGGCAGUCCUGAAAUCGUUAGUUUGUGGUUAACAAACAUUUCGAGAUUUGACUUGGAAGUUGAAAAGACAUUUGAAAGUUGCAAGGAAGAUGAAGAUCGUUCAAGUGCUUGUUUUAGUAUUUGUUAUACUGUACCUGGGGGAAACAUGUGAUGGCCGUGCGAGUGAAAUGCAGAAUUCUUGCAGUUGUAAUGGUGUACAAGGACGGUGCGUUGCGUUCAAAUGCCCAGAAGGCAUGAAUGAUUGCCAUCAUGGUGUUCCUCCAAC